rnacentral:rRNA from 1 species
CUACGGGAUGCUGCAGUAGGGAAUAUUGGGCAAUGGACGCAAGUCUGACCCAGCCAUGCCGCGUGCAGGAAGACAGCCUUAUGGGUUGUAAACUGCUUUUAUACGGGAAGAAACCUCUUGACGUGUCAAGAGUUGACGGUACCGUAAGAAUAAGGAUCGGCUAACUCCGUGCCAGCAGCCGCGGUAAUACGGAGGAUUCAAGCGUUAUCCGGAUUUAUUGGGUUUAAAGGGUGCGUAGGCUGAAUGGUAAGUCAGUGGUGAAAUCCUACAGCUCAACUGUAGAACUGCCAUUGAAACUACCAUUCUUGAGUACAAUUGAAGUGGGCGGAAUGUGUUAUGUAGCGGUGAAAUGCAUAGAUAUGACACAGAACACCGAUCGCGAAGGCAGCUCACUAAGUUGAAACUGACGCUGAGGCACGAAAGCGUGGGGAUCAAACAGGAUUAGAUACCCCCGUAGUC